CACAUUUCUGUGCUCAACUUUGAGUGUCCUUUGCCCCACUGCAUUUACCACAUGGAUCUCAGGGCUUGACAGGGGCCGUGGAUUCAUCUCUCUACCCCAAACAUGGAAUACACAAUCAAAAGGAAGAUGGCGAGCUGACUAAACUGGGGACCAUAUAGACUCCACCAUCUACAACCUACUGCAG